GGAGAGCGUGGGGAGGAGCUGCUGGGGAGCCAGGCCAGAGCGGGAGGAGGUCGAGGCCGGGAGCACUCUGGGAAGGUGGGGAUCGGAGCCCCCGGAGGGCUGCCCGGAGCGCGGGGACAGGUGCGGGGAGCCUUGGUGGCGCCCACCUCUCUGCGUCCUCCGCCAGCUACCCCCCGUCCCCAGAUGUCUUGGCCCAGGUCUAUCCCCGCCCCCCAGCUCAAGGGGCACAGUGGGAAACGUAGCCCUGCUCAAUGGAGCUCGGCGAUAGGCUUCUUUUAUUUUUCUUUGGGUAAAGGAUCCGCUGAGCCUGGAAAACGUGGAUGCCAAAAGGGGUAGUUUGAUCUCUGCAGAGGUCUGAAGCCAGAAAGGGAGAAGCCCAAAACAUCCUCUCUUCACCAGCAAACCACUAAAAUGCUCCCAAGUUUUGUCUUGUCGCCCUCACUUCCCUUCCCACACUACCCCCAUCCCUCGCCACAAGAAGUUUCUCUGAGUGGGCGGCUGCUAGGUAGAAUUUCUAAGGAAGUCAUUUCAGGACUCCUUCGCCAGAGCUCUAAGCCUUCUUCUCCCGCAGCGCGCGCAAGCUGCUCCGUGGCUCUCUAGGCCUGGACCUCAACUCUAGAGUGUACGCUAGAACCUGUCUCCAGCUUAGUGUCCUCUUCUAUCCUUUUCCUGCUCUGUCCACCCGAGAAGCACUGGCCUACGCCCCUCUACAGGACGGUGGUGUAGGGAAAGGUUAGCUUGCACGAGCCUAGGGAGGCCCACCCAGCUCUGGCCUGGGGGAGGGGAGCUCCUCCUGAAACAAUAGGAAAAUGUGGUGGCAGCCACCAGGUUCCAAAGCCCCUUUCAGCCCCAACCUGAUUUGAAUGCCUGGGAGUGACUCACAGGGGCCAGCUCACCUCCGUGGAGGCUGAUUCCCAUACAAUGACGGUUUGGUGCUGAGGACGGAACCCAGGGCUUCCAGCUUGCUAGGCAAGUGUUCUACCACUCAGCCAAGUCUCCAGCCCCGAGGAUGACAAAGUUUCAACAUCCAAAGAAAAUCAGAAGAUUUGCAAGGAACUACGUAGAGUAAUAAUGGUUCUUAGAAUUACAUAUACUGUCCCAUGUUCUUUGUCUUGCCAGCAUUAAGGUCACAAGGCAACGAAGGGUAGGGGAAAGUGCUCCUUGCGAAAGUUUGCUAAAUAAGAAAGCCCUGGCCAAGGAGCCUGGUCUCAGGAGCUGGUUUCUGCCCAGCCUCUUUCAGGUGGCUGUUGCCAUGGUGUUUUAGGGGCAGAGGGGAGGAGUGAAGAUCAAGGAGACUCUUUCAGGCUGAAUCUUGUCCGGUGUUGCUUUUCAGAGUUCGUUGUGUUAAGGACAGCAGGAAUUUAAAUACCUAUGGGGGAAGGUUGGAGCGUAUUUGUUGUGCUUCUCCUCGUUUGUUUUUCCAUUCUCAUUGCUCCUAUACGGGAAAGCCAAAGCUCCUGUUAUGUACAGGAGAAGCGGGAGGAGGAGGGUUGGGUGGGAGUGGGAGAGAGAGAGAGGGUGAGUGUCAGGGACACAUUAUAAAGACAAUUUGUUAAAUUCAUUUUUUUUUUUUUUGUCUUUUUCAUUUUUACCGGUACCAGGGAUCGAACUCAUGACCGCCUGCUUACAAGGCAGGUGCUUAUGCCGCUGAGCUAAAUCCCCAGCCCCUACAAUUUGUUAAAUUCUGCAGAUCCUCAAGAUGGGCAUUAGAAAGAUGAUCAGACAGAUACAGUCAGAAGAGAGGGGACAGUGAGAAAGGCCACGACAGCAGUCAAGAGGAAAGCAGAGGGCCGGGAUAUAGCUCUGUGGCCAAGUGCUUACCUGCCAAGUGCAAGGUCCUGAGUUCAAUUCCUGUUACAAAAAAACAAAACAAAACAAAAAACACAGCACAUCAGACUGACAAGAAAGAAAGAUUUCAGUAGCAGAAACAAGUUUUUGGAGGGACUGGAAUUACUAAAGGAACUACGUCAGAAACUAUGAAUAAUAUUCAGUUAAUAGAAUAGAAAGAACCUUGGGGGAACAGGUGGCACCUAGGACUUUGGAGCGGGAAGGGACCUUCAGGAUCAUCUCCAAAUCUCACCUUUCAGAUAAGGAAACUAAGACCCUGAGAAGUCAAGUGAUCAAAAAAGGCUCUCUGGAAGCAGAUCUUAUCUGAGAAAAUUGUUCUCCUACCACAUCAUGAAACUGGAGAAGAAACAGGGCAAAAUGAGUGGGAGGCCAAGGAUAAGUAAAAAUGAAAAGCUAGAUCUUAAUUUAGUAAUCCUCUCUAGAGUUUAUGAACUUUUUUCUAAAAUAUUGUGUUCUUAGCAACCAGUCCCAGUUGGAUAACUUCAUGCGAGGGUUUUUAGUCAGAUAAUUUGUUACCCAGUUUUAGACGCUAUUCCAAUGAUCACUCUGUGAUUUAUUUAAGCACCAUCUUCCUCCUCCUUCUCCACUUGCUUUUUUAGGUGCUCAGGCUCAACUCAGGGCCUUAGUGCCUGUUAGAUAGGCUCUACCACUGUGGUAUACUUCACCCUCAGUCCUGAGAAUAUUCUGAUGAUUUUUAUUAAUUUUUAAUUAUAUUUUUAAAAUAUAUAUUUGUUUUAGAAAUUUUUUAAUUUAUCAAUUUUGAACUUACAACAUAACCUCUAAUGACACCUUUUUUUUUUUUUUUUGGUACAGGGAUUGAGCUUACAACCUCGUGCUCGCCAGGCAGGUGCCUAUACUGCUGAGCUAAAUCCCCAGCCUUUCUAAUUUAUAUUUUAAGUGCCUAUCCUUUUAAUAUGCUCUUGGUGCAAUUUAUUUUUUCACAAGUAGUUUUUGGGCACCUUGUAUGUGCCAAGUUCCUAGCAUGCAUAGGAAAUACAAGUAUAUUAAUGAUACAGGUAUUUUAAAAUUAAUUAAUUCUACAAAGUGAGCUCAAGGCCAGCAUGAACUGCAUAGAGGGACCCUGUCUCAAAAAAGGCAAAUAAAUUAAUUAAUCCAGUCGUGCUGGGGGUUGAGCCCAAGAGUUUUGCCACUGAGCUACAUCCCUCGCCUUCCCACACACAUUUUUUUUUUAUUAUUAAAUAUUGGUAUGCAAAUGAAUGAGUUUCAUUUGGGGCAGGUUUUUGUAUGCAUGUAACAUAAUUUAAUCACUCUUUUCUUUCCCAAUACCUGCAAUCAAGCAUUAAGAUGCCUCUAAACAUGUUCCUGUUGCUGUGGCUAUUCUGGCUCUUUUGUGUUUCCAUACGAAUUUUAAGAUUGUUUUUCUAGUUCUUUGAGGAAUGACAUUGGUAGGUUGAUGAGGAGUACAUUGAAUCUGUAGAUCACUUGGUAAGUCUAAGUAUGGCCAUUUGAGCAAUAUUACAGCUGCCAAUCCAUGAACAUGGAAGGUCUUUCUUCUAGUGUCUUUUUCAAAGUUUUCUUCAGUGUUCUGAAAAAAAAAAAUUUUUUUUUUUUGAUACUGGGGAUCAAACUCACUACCUUGUGCUUGUCAGGAAGGUGCUUAUGCCACUGAGCAAAUCCCCUGUCCCUGAAAUUUUCACUGUAGAGGUCUUUUACCUCUUUGGUUAGAUUUAUACCUAAGUUGUUUUUCUUUAUUUUUUUUUCUUUUUUUUACUUUUAUGAGUUGUUUUUCUUAAAGCUUUUGAAAAUUGAAUUGUUUUUCUAAUUUCUUUCCCCUCUAGUCUAUUGCCAAUGUAUAGAAAAUAAACUAUUUUUUUAAUCUUGAUUUUAUAUUCUGCUCUAAAAGUCUUUUGGGGGUCUGGGGUAUAAAUCAUGGGCCUAGUACCUGCCUGGCAAGCACGAGGUCCUGAGUUCAAUUUCUAGUGCAAAAAAAAAAAGUGGACAUCUUUGCCUCAUUUCUGCUUUGAGAGGGAAUGCUUUCAGCUUUUUCUCUUCUAAAAUGAUACUGGCAGGCCGGAAGUGGUGGUAUAUGCCUGUAAUCCCAGCACUUGGGAAGCUGAGGCAGGAAGAUUACCAUGAGUUUAAAAUUAGCCUGGGCUACCAAGUAAGUUCAAGACCAGCCUGAACUGCACAAUAAAACCCUGUUUUUUUUUUUUUUUUUUUUUUUGGUACUGGGGCUUGACCUCAGGGCCUUAGCACUUGCAGUUGCCGGGCAGGUACUAUACCAUCCAAAACCCUAUUUCAAAAAACAAAAUGAAACAAACAAACAAGGGCUGGGGGUUUAGUUCAGUGACAUUAGCACCUGCCUGGCAAGCAUGAGGUCGUGAGUUUGAUCCCUAGUACUGCAAAAGAAAAAAAAAAAAAAACCAACCCCCAAAAUGGAGAAACCAAAGAUGCUGGCUGUGGAUUGAUAGCCUUUACUCCUUUAUUGUAUGAGGAAUGACCCUUCAGUGCCUGGUUUCUUCAGGCUUCCGUUAUGAAUGGGUGGAUUUUGUUACUCCUUUUCCUGUGUCACUUGAGUUAUCAUGUGGUUUUUAGUCUUGAUUUUAUUUGUGUGGUAUGUGACAUUUAUCAGUUUGCAUAUGUUGAACCAUCCUUGUUUCUCCGGAAUGAAGCCAACUUGAUUGUAGUGUAUCAUCUUUCUAGUGUUUUUUGAAUUCAGCUUGCGAGUAUUUUAUGAGGGUUUUUGCAUCUGUAUUCAAGAAUAUGAGUCUAUAGUUUUCUUUUUUUUGUUGUGUCCUUGAUUUGUUUCAGUAUCAGGGUGAUGCUGGCCUUUCUUUUUCUAUUUCAUGGGUAAGUUUGGCCAGCACUCCUUUCUCCUUUAAAAGGGACUAGUGGGCUGGAACUAUAACUCAGCAGCCCAGUGCCUACCUAGCAAGUGCAAGGACCUGAGUUCGAUUCCCAGUACCAAGAUAGAUAAAUACAUAUAUAAGGGAGAUUUAGCUCAGUGGCAUAAGCGCCUGCCUGGCAAACAGGAGAUUGCGAGUUCAAUCCCUGGUACCCAAAACAAAACAAAUGCUCCUCAGUUACGAUCCACUAUCUAGGGGCAUUGAGUUGCUAUGAAUUUUGGGGUCAGGAAUUCAGCUCGGUGGCAUAAGUGCUUGCCUGGCAAGUGUGAGGUUGUGAGCUCAAUCGCCAGUACAAAAAAAAAGGGACUGGCAAAAUUGGCAUGUUGGUUCCAGGUUUUUCUUUUGGGACAGUUUUUAUUACUACCGCUUUACUCUCUCAUUGCUUUUUGUUUAUCUGUUUAGGUUUUCUAUCCUUUUGGCUUAGUUUUGGUAGAUCAUAUAUGCCUAGAAAUAUAUCCACUUCUGCUAGAUUCUCCAAUGUAUCAGAAUAUAGGUUUUCAAAGCUGUGCCAAAUAAUCCUAGGAUUUCAAUGGUAUCUGUUGUGAUAUGCUCCCUUUCAUCUCCAGUUUUAUUGACCUGGGUCUCCUUGUUAGUCUGGCUAAAGGUUUAUAAAUCUUGUUCACUUUUUGUAAAAGCCAACUCUGUUUAAUUAAUUCCAUGCAUUGUUCUUUUAGUCUCUGUCUCAGUAAUUUCAGCUGUAUCUUUAUUGUUUCUUUCCUUUUGUUGGGUAUGACUUUAGUUCUUGAUUUUACAGAAUGUUGAGGUGUAUCAUUAGGUUAUUUGUUUAAGAUCUCCCUGAUUUUUUAUAUAGGGCCUCAUCAUUUUCCCUCUUAGAAUGGCAUUUACUGUAUCAUGGAGAUCUGUUAUGUUGUAGUUCCCUAUGUAUUUGAUUCUAAGGGAUUUUAAAAUUAGCUCCCUGAUUUCUUUGAUGAUCAUUCAACAGUGAACUAUUCUAUCUCCAGCAUUUGUAUACUUCCUGUGAUUUUUCCUGCUGUUAAUUUCUAGUUUCAUUCCGUCAUUAUGUGAUAACAUACACAAAAUUAUUUCAGUCUUUUUGUCAGGGCUUCCUUUGUUAUAUAUUUUGGAGAAUAUUCUAUGAGCCAUUGAGAAUGCGCAUCUGUAUUUGUUGGGUGGAAUACUUGUAGCCAUCUGUUAAGUGGAUUUGAUGAGUGGUUUAGUCUAACUUUGGUGUUUCUCUGUUGAGUGUUUGCCUAGGUGACCUAUAUAUUGGUGAGAGUGGCGUACUGAAGUCAUUCCCUGUUAUUAUAUUGAGACCUAUGUGGCCAUUUAUGUCGAGUAGAGUUUGUUCGUAGAGUUGGGUGCAGCUGGUGUUUGACACACAUAUGUUUAAGUGUGUUAUGCUUUCUUAGUGGAUUGUUCCCUUUGCCUAUAGUGGUCUUCUUUGCCCCUCUGAUUUUGUCACGCUGCUUUCAUUAUUCUUGCCUUGUUCCGUACUCUUGCCAUUUAACUAUAGUGUGAUGUGGGGAGGUCCUUUUCCAAUUGUGCCCCUUUAGGAUUGCCUGUUUCUCAAUGUCUUUUAUAUCUACAGGUCAGUAUCUGCCCCCACAUUUGGGAAGUUUAUCUGUUAUUAUUCAUUAAAUGCAUUUUCUGUACCAUUAGUCUGAACCUCAGUGCCCUUAGUAAGUUUGGUCUUUUACCUGUGUCCCAGGCUUCUUGUAUAUUUGUUCAUAAUUUUUGGUUUUUCUUUCUUUCUGUCUGAAAUAGUGCCUCAAGUGUAUCAAGCCUUGAAAUUCUGUCUUCUGCAUAGUCCUUUCUAUUGGUGAAGAUGUCCACUGAGGUUUUUUUUUUUUUUUUUUUUUUUUUUUUCAUUUGAGUUGUGCUUUUCAUUUCUAUUUGGUUCUUCUUUGGAGACUGUAUUUAUUGGGUUGGGGAUGCAGCUCAGCAGCACAAGUGCCUACCUUACAAGUGCAAGGUCCUGAGUUUGAUUCCUGGUACCAAAAAACAAAACAAAACAAAACAAAAGGAAUCUCUGUUGAAUUGUUCUCUUAUAUCCUGCAUAAGAGAACAUAGAGAGGGAAUUUGGGAGAAAUAAGCCUGCUAUUCAGCAGAAAUUAUUUUUACCAUCACUUAACUCCAUCUUCACUUUUCAGAGGUCCGCCAUUUUUCCAAAGCGCGUUCUCUCUCUCUCUUCUCUCUCUCUCUCUCUCUCUCUCUCUCUCUCUGUCUCUCUCUCUGUCUCUCGCUCUGUCUCUCUCUCUGUCUCUCUCUCUGUCUCUCUCUCUCUUUCUGGUACUGGGGGUCAGACUUACCCUUGCACUUGCCAGGCAGGCACUUAUGCCUGCUGAGCUAAAUCCUUGGCCUUCUGUCUCUCUCUUUAGGCAAUGUGAGCUCCCACUACUAACUUUCCUUCCCUGCUUCCUCUCUCCCUUCCUCCCUUCCUCCCUUCCUUCCUCCUUCCUUCUUUCUUUUCUUUCUUUCUGAGGUAGGGUAGAAGAAAUAAAGACAGAAAGGAGAAAGGAAAAUCACAAUUUUCAAAUUGUACCUUAGAAACUGCAAAUUUCUUGUGGGUGCAAAUUUCCCAAGACUACAAUGUUUUUCCUUCCCAGGCUACUCACUUUCACAGUCUUAAUUUUUUUCUUUUUCUUUUUUCCCAAUUCUUUAAAAAUAAAAUAUAUUUGACCUAAGCCUUUCACCUGUAAACUGAGCCCCUGCUUUUUUCCCUUUACUAUAAAUUCACAAAUUCCACAGCUCUUCACUCCUAAGACUACAUAAAAAUUCCCAAACGCAAACCAUAAAAAGCCUGUCUCCUGAAUGCCCACUCUAUUCUCCCUGAGUACUUUUAAAUGCUGCCCAAUAAACCUUUCUAUGCCUCUCACUGA